GAUGAACGCUGGCGGCGUGCCUAAUACAUGCAAGUCGAGCGAACGGACGAGAAGCUUGCUUCUCUGAUGUUAGCGGCGGACGGGUGAGUAACACGUGGAUAACCUACCUAUAAGACUGGGAUAACUUCGGGAAACCGUAGCUAAUACCGGAUAAUAUUUUGCACCGCAUGGUUCAAAAGUGAAAGACGGUCUUGCUGUCACUUAUAGAUGGAUCCGCGCUGCAUUAGCUAGUUGGUAAGGUAACGGCUUACCAAGGCAACGAUGCAUAGCCGACCUGAGAGGGUGAUCGGCCACACUGGAACGGAGACACGGCCCAGACUCCUACGGGAGGCAGCAGUAGGGAAUCUUCCGCAAUGGGCGAAAGCCUGACGGAGCAACGCCGCGUGAGUGAUGAAGGUCUUCGGAUCGUAAAACUCUGUUAUUAGGGAAGAACAUAUGUGUAAGUAACUGUGCACAUCUUGACGGUACCUAAUCAGAAAGCCACGGCUAACUACGUG
rnacentral:rRNA from 1 species